UACGUAGGGUGCGAGCGUUAAUCGGAAUUACUGGGCGUAAAGCGUGCGCAGGCGGUUUUAUAAGCCAGAUGUGAAAGCCCCGGGCUCAACCUGGGAAUGGCAUUUGGGACUGUAAGGCUGGAGUAUGGCAGAGGGGACUAGAAUUCCUGGUGUAGCAGUGAAAUGCGUAGAUAUCAGGAGGAAUACCGAUGGCGAAGGCAGGUCUCUGGGCCAAUACUGACGCUCAUGCACGAAAGCGUGGGGAGCAAACAGG
rnacentral:rRNA from 1 species